UACGGAGGGAGCUAGCGUUGCUCGGAAUUACUGGGCGUAAAGCGCGCGUAGGCGGCUUUGUAAGUUAGAGGUGAAAGCCCGGGGCUCAACCCCGGAAUUGCCUUUAAGACUGCAUCGCUUGAAUCCGGGAGAGGUGAGUGGAAUUCCGAGUGUAGAGGUGAAAUUCGUAGAUAUUCGGAAGAACACCAGUGGCGAAGGCGGCUCACUGGACCGGUAUUGACGCUGAGGUGCGAAAGCGUGGGGAGCAAACAGG
rnacentral:rRNA from 1 species